GACGAACGCUGGCGGCGUGCUUAACACAUGCAAGUCGAGCGAAAAGGCUCCUUCGGGGGAACUCGAACGGCGAACGGGCAAUAAACACGCGAGUAAUCUGCCCUGUGCACUGGAAUAGCAACCGGAAACGGUGAUAAAUACGGGAUACAACAACUAUGGGCACCCAUUGGUGGUGGAAAGUUUUUUCGGCACAGGAUGUGCUCGUGGCCUGUCAGCUUGGUGGUGCGGUAGUGGCUCACCAAGGCUUUGACGGGUACCCGGCCUGAGAGGGUGACCGGUCACACUGGGAAUGAAACACGACCCGGACUCCUACGGGAGGCGGCAGUGGGGAAUGUUGGACAACGGGCGGAAGCCUGAUCCAGCAACGCCGCGUGGGGGAUGACGGCCUUCGGGUUGUAAACCUCUUUCAGUACCGACGAAGCGCAAGUGACGGUAGGUACAGAAGAAGGACCGGCCAACUACGUGCCAGCCGCCGCCGUAAAAC
rnacentral:rRNA from 1 species